UACGAAGGGGGCUAGCGUUGUUCGGAAUUACUGGGCGUAAAGUGUGCGCAGGCGGCCGCGCAAGUCGAGUGUGAAAGCCCCGAGCUUAACUUGGGAACUGCGCUCGAAACUACGUGGCUGGAGUGUGGCAGAGGAAGGUGGAAUUCCAGGUGUAGCGGUGAAAUGCGUAGAGAUCUGGAGGAACACCGAUGGCGAAGGCAGCCUUCUGGGCCAACACUGACGCUCAUGCACGAAAGCGUGGAGAGCAAACAGG
rnacentral:rRNA from 1 species